GAUGAACGCUGGCGGCGUGCCUAAUACAUGCAAGUCGAGCGAACGGACGAGAAGCUUGCUUCUCUGAUGUUAGCGGCGGACGGGUGAGUAACACGUGGAUAACCUACCUAUAAGACUGGGAUAACUUCGGGAAACCGGAGCUACUACCGGAUAAUAUUUUGAACCGCAUGGUUCAAAAGUGAAAGACGGUCUUGCUGUCACUUAUAGAUGGAUCCGCGUUGCAUUAGCUAGUUGGUAAGGUAACGGCUUACCAAGGCAACGAUGCAUAGCCGACCUGAGAGGGUGAUCGGCCACACUGGAACUGAGACACGGUCCAGACUCCUACGGGAGGCAGCAGUAGGGAAUCUUCCGCAAUGGGCGAAAGCCUGACGGAGCAACGCCGCGUGAGUGAUGAAGGUCUUCGGAUCGUAAAACUCUGUUAUUAGGGAAGAACAUAUGUGUAAGUAACUGUGCACAUCUUGACGGUACCUAAUCAGAAAGCCACGGCUAACUACGUG
rnacentral:rRNA from 1 species